rnacentral:rRNA from 1 species
GCAGAACGCGAAGAACCUUACCAGGCCUUGACAUGCAGAGAACUUUCCAGAGAUGGAUUGGUGCCUUCGGGAGCUCUGACACAGGUGCUGCAUGGCUGUCGUCAGCUCGUGUCGUGAGAUGUUGGGUUAAGUCCCGUAACGAGCGCAACCCUUGUCCUUAGUUACCAGCACGUUAUGGUGGGCACUCUAAGGAGACUGCCGGUGACAAACCGGAGGAAGGUGGGGAUGGCGUCAAGUCAUCAUGGCCCUUACGGCCUGGGCUACACACGUGCUACAAUGGUCGGUACAGAGGGUUGCCAAGCCGCGAGGUGGAGCUAAUCUCACAAAACCGAUCGUAGUCCGGAUCGCAGUCUGCAACUCGACUGCGUGAAGUCGGAAUCGCUAGUAAUCGCGAAUCAGAAUGUCGCGGUGAAUACGUUCCCGGGUCUUGUACACACCG